rnacentral:lncRNA from 1 species
AUAAUUUAUACAUGUGUAUAAAAUUUGCAGCACUAUAUAAGGGUAUUACACCAAAUGUUCAAGGGAAAUGUACUAAUUGUACAAGAGGUGUAUAAGACUGUUAUUUUGUAAAGGAUUUUAAUAAAUUUGGAACCAUUUUUUUUUUUUGCUUGUUACCCAAAGCUUGCACACUCUUAUGUCACACACUCCUUUAUCACACACCCAUCUCAUGUACUUUAUUUCAGUCACAUAUGACAAUUCAAAUAUUUAUCCUACUAAUGAUA